rnacentral:rRNA from 1 species
UACGAGGGGGGCGAGCGUUGUUCGGAAUUAUUGGGCGUAAAGGGCGCGUAGGCGGUGCGGUAAGUCUUCUGUGAAAUCUCCGGGCUCAACUCGGAGUCUGCAGGGGAAACUGCCGUGCUUGAGUGUGGGAGAGGUGAGUGGAAUUCCCGGUGUAGCGGUGAAAUGCGUAGAUAUCGGGAGGAACAUCAGUGGCGAAGGCGGCUUCUUGGGCCCUACCUGACGCUGAGGCGCGAAAGCCAGGGGAGCGAACAGG